CGCUUUCAUCGGUGACUUUAGU
rnacentral:miRNA from 1 species